rnacentral:piRNA from 1 species
UCUGCUGGUGACACCCAGGCAAAUAGGGUC